rnacentral:rRNA from 1 species
UACGUAGGGGGCAAGCGUUGUCCGGAUUUAUUGGGCGUAAAGAGCGUGUAGGCGGCUGGGCAGGUCCGUUGUGAAAACUCGAGGCUCAACCUCGAGACGCCGAUGGAAACCCUCCAGCUAGAGUCCGGAAGAGGAGAGUGGAAUUCCUGGUGUAGCGGUGAAAUGCGUAGAUAUCGGGAGGAACACCGGUGGCGAAGGCGGGUUCCUGGGCAGCAACUGACGCUGAGAAGCGAAAGCGUGGGGAGCGAACAGG